CUUCGUAUGUGAUGGCAAUGACUCAACAGAAAGAAAAAUUGCUGAUGCAAGAAAAAGAGUGUCUUGCCUCGUCCAGGCAAGAGGGCAUCAGACUUGGGACAGCUCACUCGAGGCAGGGAAAGAAAAGCGGGUCGCACGAUUGCAGGCACAGGGCUUCAUUCCCAUCACCUAGGCUGCAGUACAGGGGCAUGAUCUCGGCUCACUGCAACCUCCACCUCCUGGACUCAAGCAACCCUCCCAUUCCAGCCUCCCAGGUAGCAAGGACUACAGGCACACACCACCAUGCCAGGCUAAUUUUUGUUUGUUUGUUUUUGUUGAGACGGUGUUUCACCAUGUUGCCCAGGCUGGCCUCGAACUCCUGAGUUCAAGUGAUCUGCCCACCUUGGCCUCUCAAAGUGCUGGGAUUACAGGCACGAGCCACCACACUCAGCCUUCAUCAUCUAAUAAAAUCUAACCAAAUCC
rnacentral:lncRNA from 1 species